UGAACCGGCCCAGGUCGGAAACGG
rnacentral:piRNA from 2 species